rnacentral:rRNA from 1 species
AAAUCGUAACAAGGUUUCCGUAGGUGAACCUGCGGAAGGAUCAUUG